rnacentral:rRNA from 1 species
CCUACGGGUGGCAGCAGUGGGGAAUAUUGCACAAUGGGCGCAAGCCUGAUGCAGCCAUGCCGCGUGUAUGAAGAAGGCCUUCGGGUUGUAAAGUACUUUCAGCGAGGAGGAAGGCAUUAAGGUUAAUAACCUUGGUGAUUGACGUUACUCGCAGAAGAAGCACCGGCUAACUCCGUGCCAGCAGCCGCGGUAAUACGGAGGGUGCAAGCGUUAAUCGGAAUUACUGGGCGUAAAGCGCACGCAGGCGGUUUGUUAAGUCAGAUGUGAAAUCCCCGAGCUUAACUUGGGAACUGCAUUUGAAACUGGCAAGCUAGAGUCUUGUAGAGGGGGGUAGAAUUCCAGGUGUAGCGGUGAAAUGCGUAGAGAUCUGGAGGAAUACCGGUGGCGAAGGCGGCCCCCUGGACAAAGACUGACGCUAAGGUGCGAAAGCGUGGGGAGCA